GUCGAGGAUCUUCCGCAAUGGGCGAAAGCCUGACGGAGCGACACCGCGUACAGGAUGAAGGCCUUCGGGUUGUAAACUGUUGUCACGCUAUAGGAAAACCUUGGUGUUAAUAGCGCCAAGGCUGACUAAAGCGAGAGGAAGCAACGGCUAACUCUGUGCCAGCAGCCGCGGUAAGACAGAGGUUGCAAACGUUGUUCGGAAUCACUGGGCAUAAAGCGCACGUAGGCGGUCCACUAAGUCAGGUGUGAAAGCCCCCGGCUCAACCGGGGAAUAGCAUUUGAUACUGAUGGACUCGAGAGUGGUAGGGGUGAGUGGAACUCCAGGUGGAGCGGUGAAAUGCGUAGAUAUCUGGAGGAACACCGGUGGCGAAAGCGGCUCACUGGACCACAACUGACGCUGAGGUGCGAAAGCUAGGGUAGCAAACGGGAUUAGAUACCCGAGUAGUCC
rnacentral:rRNA from 1 species